GGUCCUUACCUUUGCUUAAUGCUUUUAUCGUUUAACUCAUUCGGUAAAUGUUGUUUGUCUUUAUUAAUACAGAGACGUACAUUAAUGUCAUAAACUGGGGGGAAUUCCUUGAUUAUGCUAACACCGCCUAUAGAUAGGGGUAGGACGAUCAAUUGUAUUUUGCUUCCGUUUAUCAUGCAUUAUUAGUUACUAGGGGAGGCUAGAGAUAGCAAGCCAGUAAUUAGUAAUAGGCUCUUUUCGCCA
rnacentral:lncRNA from 1 species